CUCAAAGACCAGCCACUCUGAGAAUCUCGGUUCCACUGGCCCUAUCUCAAAGAUUGGGUUUACAUGGAGAGGGGUUGGUCCCAUUGGUGUAAGCCUCCUUUGAAAUCCUUUCCCAUUCUGGUGUUCCCUCUUCAAUCUACAAGAGCAUUAUGUAAGGAUCCUCACGAGUUCAGAGUGCCAAUGAUUCCUGGAUGUGUCAAACCUGGAAACCGUACUCCUGCCGUGCCGUGAUGUGAAGAUAUUUAGCAUGUGAAUAGUCAACAAAACACCUCAUAACAAGGAAAGCUACAUGGUUGUUGCUACUAAUCUGCUUGACAAAAAAAGCAGGACGAUGUUAUGUUCUAACCAGGAAUUUGAGGAGAGUAGGCAUAAAUCCCUUCAAAGUACCAAAUAGCUUUGGUUGCACAAGGGAAAUGGUCAGUCAAGAACCCGCCGCCAUUCUCUCUAUCAAACGAACCAGUGAAGCCCCAUUCAUUUCCUGGAAGAGGACCCAAGUUGCAUAUGUCAACAGCAAGAAGAUCACCGGUCUUGGCUGCAACACCUUCCUCAUCCACAACUUUGAUCGGUCCACUCAGUAGAAAGGUCUAUGCUCUUAAUAUCGCCAGCAGAAUCAUCAUCUUUCACUGCACCUCCCGUCCAAUCAACCAUUUCCACCCUAAAGAACUC